rnacentral:rRNA from 1 species
GGUAAUACCGGCAGCUCRAGUGGUCGUCGCUUUUAUUGGGCCUAAAACGUCCGUAGCCUGUUUGGUAAAUCUGUGGGUAAAUCAACYMGCUYAACKRGUUGAAUUCUGCAGAGACUGCCAGACUAGGGACCGGGAGAGGUGUGGGGUACUCRAGGGGUAGGGGUAAAAUCCUGUCAUCCUUMGAGGACCACCAGUUGCGAAGGCGCCACACURGAACGGAUCCGACGGUCAGGGACGAAGCCUAGGGGCACGAACCGGAUUAGAUACCCGGGUAGUCCUAGGUGUAAACGCUGUGAACUUGGUGUCGGGRGUCCGCAAKGGGYCCCCGGUGCCGGAGUGAAGAUGUUAAGUUCACUGCCUGGGGAGUACGGUCGCAAGGCUGAAACUGGUAAUACCGGCAGCUCRAGUGGUCGUCGCUUUUAUUGGGCCUAAAACGUCCGUAGCCUGUUUGGUAAAUCUGUGGGUAAAUCAACYMGCUYAACKRGUUGAAUUCUGCAGAGACUGCCAGACUAGGGACCGGGAGAGGUGUGGGGUACUCRAGGGGUAGGGGUAAAAUCCUGUCAUCCUUMGAGGACCACCAGUUGCGAAGGCGCCACACURGAACGGAUCCGACGGUCAGGGACGAAGCCUAGGGGCACGAACCGGAUUAGAUACCCGGGUAGUCCUAGGUGUAAACGCUGUGAACUUGGUGUCGGGRGUCCGCAAKGGGYCCCCGGUGCCGGAGUGAAGAUGUUAAGUUCACUGCCUGGGGAGUACGGUCGCAAGGCUGAAACU